AGGUGAGUAGCUCAAUUGGCUAGAGCAUCGGAUUCCAAAUCCGAGGGUUGCGGGUUCAAGUCCUGCCUCACCUG
rnacentral:tRNA from 1 species